ACACAUGCAAGUCGAACGGGAAUUACUUUAUUGAAACUUCGGUCGAUUUAAUUUAAUUCUAGUGGCGGACGGGUGAGUAACGCGUGGGUAACCUGCCUUAUACAGGGGGAUAACAGUCAGAAAUGGCUGCUAAUACCGCAUAAGCGCACAGAGCUGCAUGGCUCAGUGUGAAAAACUCCGGUGGUAUAAGAUGGACCCGCGUUGGAUUAGCUGGUUGGUGGGGUAACGGCCCACCAAGGCGACGAUCCAUAGCCGGCCUGAGAGGGUGAACGGCCACAUUGGGACUGAGACACGGCCCAGACUCCUACGGGAGGCAGCAGUGGGGAAUAUUGCACAAUGGGGGAAACCCUGAUGCAGCGACGCCGCGUGAAGGAAGAAGUAUCUCGGUAUGUAAACUUCUAUCAGCAGGGAAGAUAGUGACGGUACCUGACUAAGAAGCCCCGGCUAACUACGUGCCAGCAGCCGCGGUAAUACGUAGGGGGCAAGCGUUAUCCGGAUUUACUGGGUGUAAAGGGAGCGUAGACGGUGUGGCAAGUCUGAUGUGAAAGGCAUGGGCUCAACCUGUGGACUGCAUUGGAAACUGUCAUACUUGAGUGCCGGAGGGGUAAGCGGAAUUCCUAGUGUAGCGGUGAAAUGCGUAGAUAUUAGGAGGAACACCAGUGGCGAAGGCGGCUUACUGGACGGUAACUGACGUUGAGGCUCGAAAGCGUGGGG
rnacentral:rRNA from 1 species